rnacentral:misc_RNA from 1 species
UCUCCGUUGGUGAACCAGCGGAGGGAUCAUUACUGAGUAUAUCCUACUACUCUCAACCCUUUGCGAACGUACCUGUUCUGUUGCUUCGGCAGGCCGUCCCCUGGGAGGGGCAGCCAGCGCCUGCCGGAGGUCACCAAACUCUUGAUAAUUUAUGGCCUCUCUGAGUCUUCUGUACUGAAUAAGUCAAAACUUUCAACAACGGAUCUCUUGGUUCUG